AAACAUGGAAGUGAGAACACAGUCUGCUGUCAAACUGCUGCAAUCAAGUGCAAAGCAAAUCAUUUUUUAGGGAUCUCAGCAGUUUCUCAUCACCUCCAGACUCCAUGCUGAACAGAGGUGUGUGGCCAAGUUGUCUGCAAACACCAACAGCUGUGUUUGGUGUAGCCAGCAGCCCAAGCACAUGUCGUCUCAGCACUGCCCUCCAGGAUGCAAAACCAGAAGCACAAAGUGUUCUCUUCAAAGCCAGGAUGCAGCUGAGCAUCACUUUCUGUGAAAUUCAUGUACCACGGGAACAAGGCCAUGAUGUGAUGCAGAUUGAUGCUCUAACACUCUCGUUUCUUCUCAUGAAAUAAGUUAUUUUUUUUAUGUCACUAGAAUAAUGAAGAAUAGUUGCAAUUGCA